GACGAACGCUGGCGGCGUGCUUAACACAUGCAAGUCGAACGAUGAAGCUGGAGCUUGCUCCGGUGGAUUAGUGGCGAACGGGUGAGUAACACGUGAGCAAUCUGCCCUUGACUCUGGGAUAACUGCAGGAAACUGUAGCUAAUACCGGAUAUGAGGCUCGAAGGCAUCUUCGGGUCUGGAAAGAAUUUCGGUCAAGGAUGAGCUCGCGGCCUAUCAGCUUGUUGGUUAGGUAAUGGCUCACCAAGGCGACGACGGGUAGCCGGCCUGAGAGGGUGACCGGCCACACUGGGACUGAGACACGGCCCAGACUCCUACGGGAGGCAGCAGUGGGGAAUAUUGCACAAUGGGCGAAAGCCUGAUGCAGCAACGCCGCGUGAGGGAUGAAGGCCUUCGGGUUGUAAACCUCUUUUAGCAGGGAAGAAGCGAAAGUGACGGUACCUGCAGAAAAAGCACCGGCUAACUACGUGCCAGCCGCCGCAGUAG
rnacentral:rRNA from 1 species